rnacentral:lncRNA from 1 species
AGAACCCUGGUUCCUGUGACUGAAGCUGGCUCAAGGAUACAGCCGUGGGUGGGUACUGUGCCUCCCUUCUGUCCUGGCAUAGGAAGCACAAGGGCACUUUAAGCUCUACAACCCAGAUCAGCAUAAAUCUUGGAAUUUCUUGUGGACCAAGAGUGACAGACGUGAAACAAACUCACUUCUCAGCUGGUAACUCAAACAAUGAGUUGGUUUCAGAGGCUAUUUACAAACUCUGGAGAAGAAGAACUUCAGAAAAAAGUUGAAGAACUUCAGAAAAAAGUUGGU